rnacentral:misc_RNA from 1 species
GAAAUGCGAUAAGUAAUGUGAAUUGCAGAAUUCAGUGAAUCAUCGAAUCUUUGAACGCACAUUGCGCCCUCUGGUAUUCCGGGGGGCAUGCCUGUUCGAGCGUCAUUAUAACCACUCAAGCUCUCGCUUGGUAUUGGGGUUCGCGGUUUCGCGGCUCCUAAAAUCAGUGGCGGUGCCUGUCGGCUCUACGCGUAGUAAUACUCCUCGCCAUUGAGUCCGGCUGGUCUACUUGCCAGCAACCCCUAAUUUCUUUUACAGGUUGACCUCGGAUCAGGUAGGGAUACCCGCUGAACUUAA